rnacentral:rRNA from 1 species
AACGAACGCUGGCGGCAUGCCUAACACAUGCAAGUCGAACGAGACCUUCGGGUCUAGUGGCGCACGGGUGCGUAACGCGUGGGAACCUGCCCUUAGGUUCGGAAUAACUCCCCGAAAGGGGUGCUAAUACCGGAUAAUGUCUUCGGACCAAAGAUUUAUCGCCUUUGGAUGGGCCCGCGUUGGAUUAGCUAGUUGGUAGGGUAAAAGCCUACCAAGGCGACGAUGCAUAGCUGGUCUGAGAGGAUGAUCAGCCACACUGGGACUGAGACACGGCCCAGACUCCUACGGGAGGCAGCAGUGGGGAAUAUUGGACAAUGGGCGAAAGCCUGAUCCAGCAAUGCCGCGUGAGUGAUGAAGGCCUUAGGGUUGUAAAGCUCUUUUACCCGGGAUGAUAAUGACAGUACCGGGAGAAUAAGCGCCGGCUAACUCCGUG